AACGCGAAGAACCUUACCAGGCCUUGACAUGCACCAGACAGACGCUGAAAGGCGUUCUCCCUUCGGGGCUGGUGCACAGGUGCUGCAUGGCUGUCGUCAGCUCGUGUCGUGAGAUGUUGCGUUAAGUCGCGCAACGAGCGCAACCCCUGUCCUUAGUUGCCAUCAGGUAAAGCUGGGCACUCUAGGGAGACAAACCCUCUUUGAGGGUGGGAAGGUGGGGAUGACGUCAAGUCAGGAUGGCCCUUACGGCCUGGGCUGCACACGUGCUACAAUGCCCGAUACAGAGGGACGCAAGACCGCAAGGUGGAGCAAAUCCUCAAAAUCGGGCCCAGUUCAGAUUGUAGUCUGCAACUCGACUACAUGAAGUUGGAAUCGCUAGUAAUGGCGCAUCAGCUACGGCGCCGUGAAUACGUUCCCGGGCCUUGUACACACCGCUGUA
rnacentral:rRNA from 1 species